GUUUCUAUAGGCCACCAGCCAAACCGAUACGCACACCAAGGGACGUGUCCCGUGUUUGCCACCACCUAUCACUCUCCGCUCAACCAAGCACGCCGCCUGCUCUUUCCGAUUCGCACCCGCAAAAAAAACACCACCAACAAUGCUCUCCAACAACAUCGCCGCUUCCGUUGGGCUCAUCUUUGUGGGUGCCGCGGCCGCCACAAUCAUUGGCGUGGCGGUCGUCGCCUAUGCCGUGCGCGACUAUGAAGCAUUCAAGCCAUGAGCCUACAGCAACGCCCAUCGACCACGGCAACAUUCAUAGGGUUGCUCGCUGUCCUCCUUUUCUGUAUCGUCAAUAAAAAUUUAAAAAAACUCCUUGUUGUACGGCAGGUCACCCC
rnacentral:lncRNA from 1 species